rnacentral:rRNA from 1 species
AACGAACGCUGGCGGCAGGCUUAACACAUGCAAGUCGAGCGCCCCGCAAGGGGAGCGGCAGACGGGUGAGUAACGCGUGGGAACGUACCCUUUGCUACGGAAUAGCUCCGGGAAACUGGAAUUAAUACCGUAUGUGCCCUACGGGGGAAGGAUUUAUCGGCAAAGGAUCGGCCCGCGUUGGAUUAGCUAGUUGGUGGGGUAAUGGCCUACCAAGGCGACGAUCCAUAGCUGGUCUGAGAGGAUGAUCAGCCACAUUGGGACUGAGACACGGGCCAAACUCCUACGGGAGGCAGCAGUGGGGAAUAUUGGACAAGGGGCGCAAGCCUGAUCCAGCCAUGCCGCGUGAGUGAUGAAGGCCUUAGGGUUGUAAAGCUCUUUCACCGGAGAAGAUAAUGACGGUAUCCGGAGAAGAAGCCCCGGCUAGCUUCGUGCCAGCCGCCGCAGUAACAC